CUACCUGAAUAGCAAGACUGGUUAAUUUGCAUAUUCGGGUAGAUUUGCAUAUUGCUAAUUCUGCAGGCAUGUGAGAUAUUUUCUGUUAAUCAUUGUCUCCCCGACCCCGAUAUGCCAUUGUGUUAUAAUAAGUCACUGUAUGUUGCCUACUAUGAUUUGACUGUUUGUAAUUUUAUUGAGUUUUCACAGCAAUGUUAAUGUAAUGACCAUAUGGG